rnacentral:tRNA from 1 species
GGGCGGAUAGUUCAGUGGCAAAAUAUCUGUUUUGCAACAAUGCACUUGAUUAUCAAGUGCUGCUGCUUCUUACAGAAGGUCCCGUGUUCAAUCCACGGUUCGUCCA